CUCUCCCUCAAAUACUGAGAAAACUUAACUGCCUAGCAGUUGGGGUGUAGUACGGAAAACCAAAACUGCUUUAGAUAUUUCAGGUAGGAGAGACUUAACAGGAGGGAUUAGAAGUGUGCAUAACCUUUGGAUGCAUAAGUUGGAGUAAUCAAGAGUGCAUAAAAACUGCUGCUAACCUUCAGGAAAUGUUGACAGUCAGAAGGUUCCGGGAAACCUGGAUGCCACUGAGCUCAGCUGCCUGCCUUGCUGAAAGGUUGACUUGCAGGAGCUUGCCUGGGAGCCUCUGUAAACCUCACAUCCGCACACAGCUGCACUGAAGGAACAUGAUGGAGGAUAGGAAUUUCAGAGAAGUUGAAUAACUUGCCCAAGAUCGCACAGUCACUAAAGGGCUAAUUUAAAGCUGGACAGCCUGUCUCUAGAGCUCAUGCCCUUCGGAUGACAACACAUAGAAAACUCUGUGUCAAGGCAAGUCAGGAGCAGGAGGGACAACUUCAGAGAUCUGCAAAAGGACCUUGGUAAUUUAGGUGCCCAUAAUCAGCUCUAACUUCACGGGUUCCUGGAGCCCCCUCAGCCUCAAUUUGACCUCUCUUGAGGCCGUUUCCAUUUAAGAGGUGUAAAGGACAUUUCUUCUGGUGGAUUGCAACACUCAGGAGCGA